GUUGAAUUUAAUUCAGGGUUAAAAUGUAUAUUAUAUAAAUAAAUUUUUACUAUAAUUUUUAAUCUAAAAUUUGUGGGGAUAAGCUCAUAAAUUUUUUUAUAACCUUAAUAAUAUAAACUUUGUAGGAUUAAAAAUCUCUAUCAAUUAUUUUGUUAUAAUUAUGUUUAAUUUUAAUUUAAUUUAAAAAAGGUUUAAAUAUAUAUUAAGAAUAAUUAUUAAAUAAUAAAUGUUUGUUAUAAUGUUAAAAUUAGUAGAUUGUUAAUUAAUAUAUAGUAAUUCGGCAAUUAUAUUCUUCACCUGUUUAACAAAAACAUGUCCUAAUGUUAUUUAUUAGGUCUAACCUGCUCAAUGAUAUUUAAAUAGCCGCAGUAUUUUGACUGUGCGAAGGUAGCAUAAUCAUUUGUCUUUUAAUUGAAGGCUUGUAUGAAGGGUUGAAUGAGGGAAUAACUUUCUUUAUAUUAAAUAUUGAAUUUAAUCUUUAGGUUAAAAAGCUUAAAUUUUUAAAAGGGACGAGAAGACCCUAUAGAAUUUUAUUUAAAGUUAUUUUUAUUUUUUGUUAUUUUUGAAAUACUUUAAAUUAUAUUGGGGUGAUGGUGAGAUUUUUUUAACUCUUAUAUUUUAAUAUUUGUGAAUUAGCAUAUUUAUGAUCCUAUUUUAUGGAUAAUUAGAU
rnacentral:rRNA from 1 species